AAAUUACUAUUUUUUAAUAUUCCGUAUCUAAUAAUGAACCCUCUUCCACUAUGCCUUGAUUUUAUGGCCUGCGCAGCUAAAACCCUAAACCCUAACGCCAUAGGAGCCUUUCUUCCAGAUCUUUACCCUUUCUCUCUGCAUCUCCCAUCAUGGCCUCAUCUUGCAACAGAUUCAUCUCCAGAUCAUCCCUAUCGUCCAUUAAAUCCUUCAUUAGAUCCAACGCUCCAAAAUCUCCUGUCACAAGAUCUACCAUUUAUUCCUCUCCUUCUCCUCAUUUCCCUUCCUCUUCCAUUCCUCGCCGCUUCUCUUUCUCUUGUAGGCCUCCGUCUAAGCUGGGAUGCGUGCAGUCGCUGCUGCCGCUGCACAGCGCGGUAGCGACGGCGAGGAUGACGUCAUGCUUGAGCACCACAUCGAGGAGUUGCCGAGCGCUGUCACAGGGUUAUUUGAUUAUUUUGUGUGCAUAACAAUUCGAAUUAGAUAGUGGAAUUGUUAAGGUUAUGAUUAAUGUAAUAAUGAGAUUAGCAAUGGAGAAGGAGGAGAUAUUUUUGAAAGUGAUUUUGUAGUUGGAAACUUCGGACAGAAAAUUUGGAUGUUCUCAUUAGUGGUGUGCUUGCUUCCUUGGCUUUUAAAGGCACAUAAUUUCAAAAGAUAUAAACUCGGGACUUGUCAAUUAUGGCCCAAUGCGUCUUUGUCAAAUGGAGUUGAUGGUACGUGAAACAUGUGUGCUGUUUUUUGGAGAGCUUGGUCUGUCAGUUCCAAGGUGACCUUUUUGCAGAAAAUCAUUGUGAUGGGAGAUUAACUUCUUCAUGAUUGAAGAAGCAAGGCCUAGUAGCUCUUCAAUUUGUGAAGAUUUUUUUUUUUUCAAUUUAUAAAUGCUGCUGAACCUUUAAACCAAUGAAGCUGAUUUGAUUCUUCAUAACAUAGGAGGACCCAUCUACUGAGAUGUAACAAUUAAAUGCAAUUCAUAUAUAAUAUCGCGCGACCAAUAUAUGCUCAGUUGUUCCCAACA